UUGCAUAUCAAAAAGCGGAGGAAAAGAAACCAACAGGGAUUGCCUCAGUAACGGCGAGUGAAGCGGCAACAGCUCAAAUUUGAAAUCUGGCCUCUUCGGGGUCCGAGUUGUAAUUUGUAGAGGAUGUUUCGGGUACCGCCUCGGUCUAAAUUUCUUGGAACAGAAUGUCAGAGAGGGUGAGAAUCCCGUCUUGGACCGGCGGUAGGGCCCAUGUGAAACUCCUUCGACGAGUCGAGUUGUUUGGGAAUGCAGCUCAAAAUGGGUGGUAAAUUUCAUCUAAAGCUAAAUAUUGGCCAGAGACCGAUAGCGCACAAGUAGAGUGAUCGAAAGAUGAAAAGAACUUUGAAAAGAGAGUUAAACAGUAUGUGAAAUUGUUGAAAGGGAAGCGCUUGCAACCAGACUUGAGCGCGGCGGUUCCCCCUUCCUUCUGGUUGGGUUACUCCGCCGUGUCCAGGCCAACAUCGGUUCUGGGGGUCGGUUAAAGGCUUGGGGAAUGUAUCUACUCCUUCGGGGGUAGACUUAUAGCCCCAGGUGUCAUGCGACCUCCCGGGACCGAGGAACGCGCUUCGGCUCGGAUGUUGGCGUAAUGGUUGUCAGCGACCCGUCUUGAAACCACGGACCA
rnacentral:rRNA from 1 species